AGAAAGCGGGGAACCACAGAGAAGGUAAAUUAAUACUUGAAACAUUUCAGGAUAGCUGACUUGUUGCCAGAUCAUAAUAUCAUGCAUAUAUUUAUUUAUAUAACGGAAAUUGAAGAAAUGAAUAGUGAACUAAAACGAAAUAUGUAGGUAAAUAUUUGUUUUGAUAUAAUCUGAAAUAUAAAUCCAAAAUAUUUACCAAUAUGGGUUCAGGCAAACUAGAUCAAUGAAAUCACGAGUAGAAUUCAUUGAGUUGAAUAAAUCUCAAACAAAUAUUGAACCAGUGAGGAUGACAGUGUUCCAUCUAUGGUGGCUGAACCUAUAGGCACCUGUAGGCGAAGAGAUUCCUGUAGGUUGAACGAGCCAUCAUAGUGACCUGUUGAAAGUUUCAUGCCAUACCGUUUGAUGCGUUAGGUGUAGUAGAAAUUCGAGGAUUUUUAAAUAAAAUCCAUAAAUCGGUAAAUCCCCGAUUUAAUAAUAAGUGCGGUAGUGAAAAGAAUAUUGGAACAGUGGUCAGCUUUUCAUCAAAAUUGUUGGACGAACGUCUACUGGCAAUUGAGCAGCUGGAUUCCCAUAGCUCUCAUCCGACGUCUCUAUUGUAAUCGAGUUUUUGGAAGAAAAGCAACGAUUCACAUAAACACGAAUACUUAUCAGGUAAAAAUUUUGUAAAGAAUGUGUAGCUACUAUACAUAUUCUACAGAUGACGUCACUGUUGUUUACACGAUGAGCAAAAGACUUGAGCCAAAGUCGAAAUUGGAUAGAAUAUCAAUCCAACAUAUAUUUGCUCAUAACAUUCGUUCGUAACCCAAGUUUCUAUAUUUUGUUAUUAACUAAUUCUUUCUGCCACGCUGUAUUAUGAACUUUGUGUUUUUGUUGAAAGAGAUAUUUUUAUAGAAGAAUGAUCUAUUCUGUGAUUCAAUACAAUUUUAAUGAAGGUUGUUAGUUAAUGAAUUCAUCACUUCGAUUUCUUGUUUCUUUUUUAUAGGAGUAAAAAAAAUUAUUACAACAUAGUAAAAACUAGUAUGAUUCUGAUGUUUUUUUUAGGUUAGGUGUUAUAUAUUAAUUCUACUUUAACAACUUCCACGUGGACAUCCGGUCUACCCGGCCUCCAACCGGUGUGAAUGAGGGCACUACUAUUAUAACACACUUAAACACUUAUUAUUGAAACUAUUAACAAUUUAAUUUUGAUGCUGGCACAUUAUAUAACGGCGGAUAUUCAUAACACGAAGUGAAUUCCGUUUCCAACAAGGGCAUCCGCGUACUUUCUUUGUGGACGGUCGCUAUCGGCACGACCAUCCACCACCAUAUCGAAAACGGAACUGUGAUUUUGUAGGAUGAUAUCACAGCAUAUCUAGAUAUGAUGAUAAAUAGAGUUGAUCAGAUUUAUGGUUCGUGGUCACAGAACAUA